rnacentral:lncRNA from 1 species
ACAAUAAAGGAAAUUAUCUUAUAAAUAGUAAGAAUAGCCCUAUCAUGCCUCAACCAUAUAAGCACAUAGCCUAGACAUGAUUUUUAACUUUAAUUUGAAUUCAAAUAAUCAUACUGGUAUAGAAGUACGUGUCAUGACCCAAAUCGAUGGGCCGCGAUGGACACCCGGUAACUUACUCAAUCGAGUACCAACGUAACGUAUCUUUCUUAUUACAUCAUCAUAUACACAUGACAUACAGGCCUAAUAGGCCAACAUGAUCAUUCAUAAAUUCAAAACAUAGGCCGACAAGGCCGUACAAUCUUUCACGUACACGAUAUUUGUCUACAAGCCUCUAAGAGUACAUAAAUAUCAUAAAGAUCAGAACAUGGCCCCACCAUACUAAUCAGUACAUGUCUUAAUCAUACUGACCACGUAAGAAACUUCGGAGCAAAUGGAGCGCACCAACACCUUUCGCUGAGCUGAUAGCCUACUUGGAGGACUCUCGACCUGUCUAUCAGGACCUGCGGCCAUGAAAUGCAGCUUCGCCAGAAAAAAGGGACGUCAGUACAAAUAAUGUACCGAGUAUGUACGACAGAUAAAUAAGUACAUAACAGAUAUGGAAGAAAUAUAGAGUAAAUGACUCAACCUGUAAGUCUGGAUAACUCUAUAAAUCAUGAAAUAAUUAUAGUGUCAUGCAUAUGCGUAUGAAUGUCAUGUCGUGCAUAGGUACAUGUUUCAUAACAUCAUCAGGCCUCUAAGGGCAUCCCAUCAUAUCAUCUCGGCCACUAUGGGCAAAAUCAUCAACGUAUACCAGCUGAUCAGGUAGUGGUGCAUAUAUAACGCCGUAACCUUUUUUCCAUAUUCCAUAUACAUAUAAUAUACAUAUAUACGCAUAUAUAAUGCCAUAUGGUCAUGGGUCAAUGUACAUGUAUAAAUAAAUGUAAUGCAUGAGAAAGUACGUCAAUAAAAUCUUUCGGAGUGUCAUAAGACCAUUAUGCCUUUGAUUAAUAUCAUGAAAGAACCUUUACCAAUUUACGUAUUUUUGAGACCCAUGAAUAGACGAUAGAAUAAUAAGACAUAUGGGAAUUCAAGAACAUAUACAUCUCUAAUACUUCUAUGAAUGGAUUCAUGUAUGAAAAUUUUGCAUUUUCUCAUUUCGUUUGUGUCGUAUGAAUCAUGACAAAAGAAAUAAAGGAUAGCCUUAACAUACCUUUAACGUCAACUUUCUACUUGUAUCCAUGAACAAUCCCUUCCAUCUUGUAUGCCAAAACUAGUCUUCUUCCACCUUACUUUAUUAAGGUGAAAUUUCCAAAUUUCUAUCAUCCGGAGGAAACCGUUGUGGGUAUAAUAUCUAUGGCCAUUUGCGUGGUCUAUCUGCAUGACGGCUUUAACACAAUAACAUCCCAUAAUCUCUAGAAGUUGAUAAUCUUUACAGGCUUAACAAAUAUUAGGCUUCAAGUGCCACAGGAUUCCAGCACUGAUACAGAUCAGACACCACUCAAGAGGCACGCAUAUAGAGCUCUUAUACUCUUAAUUAGACCACACCUACCAUUGUCAAAUAAGAACAAGCAGUGCUUUAUUUUAUCAAAAGAAGAAGUAGUAUUGUAUUUUGGGUUUAAUGAGUAUUUUCCCCUUUUGGUUUAUUAUAUAUGUGUUUUCAUGUGUUAAAGUGAUUAUAGGUACGCAAAUCACGUUAUGAAGGCUAAAGAGGGGGAGUGAAUCACUUUAAUGGACACCUUCCUGCCACUUAAUGUAUAUGAGUCACGUAAUGUGUAUAUGAAUCACUUAAUGCAUUUGUAUGUGGCUGCCACGUUGGUUAAUUUAAUUCUUAUCCAAAGACCUUAGUCUUUAUCCAAAAACAAACACUAAUUAUUAAUUAAUUAGAUAAUAUCUCAUUACCCAAUAAUUAACCAAUUACCCACAUAAUUAAGAAUUAUUCUAAUUUACUUAAAAUACUACUCACUUUUAACACACAUUAUACAUCUUACUAGCAUGGUCAUGUAGUACCUUGUAUGAUACUAGUCCAUAAAUACCGGGUAUUAUAGCUUGGUCCGUAUUUUAUCCCAAAUUGCCAAGCUUCGACGAAACUCAUUUUCUUCGAUUUUCUUACCCUCUCACCUUCUCGAAUUUACUUAUCCCUUGUUUGAAAUAACAUAAUGCUUAUAACCUCAAAAUAAUCUCAUUCCCGAACUUACGUUGAUUAACUUACGAUAAAAUUUUAACGUACGAAAAUGCGGGACAUAACAUCUCAUUUCAGAUCUUAUAUCAAUUUACUUAUGGCAUACUUGUACUUCCACGUAUGAAAACAUGGGGUGAAAAAUUAUUUUCCCCUUUGGAACAUUCGUCCUCGAAUAUUGACGGAUGCACUUAUCAUUCUCAUAACCCAUAGCUCUUGUGAAUAGUUUAGUACUCCUCUUGCCAUCUAGGCGACUGUUCUGUGAAUGAAUCCCAAAGUCUAGGGCAUUCCCCCCUUUAAGCCUCUUUCUCACACCAUGACUUGUGGUCGGAAUUCUUCCAAUCUCGCAACUGUUACUACCUUCUAUCAUGCAACCUUUAUGACUCUAACUUUGUAUGUGCGCCUAUGCGACUCUUCUCUUCUCUUUCCUCCAGCUUUUAGCCAAUCUCUAGGCCUUACUUUUUAAAUAUAUACAGAGCUUAAUUAGAUGUCUCUCUGGGCAUCUAUAGGUAUACUGAAGUUCUUCGCUUGGUACUUUGAAGAACUUGCGAAUAUUGCUAUAUCCUAUUUUAUAGACCUAGUUAUCCAUUCGUAUGACUUUACUGCAUUUACGUAAGUCAUACUAUACCAUAACUCUUACUUCGAUUUAUCGUUACUGAGGUCUGCAACUACCUCCAGGUUACUCUCGUUGCUUAUCCUUAAGACUAAUGGCCUAAUCUCAUCUCAUAUUUUGUAACUUUUAUCCAUCCAUUAUUGAUUCAUCUCAAUAUUGAUCUAUAAUCUAUCACUGAUAACUUGAAACUUCUUGCGUAAUCACUAGGGCUGACGUCUCAUCGGAUAACCUCUGAAAUGAUUAGACCGAUCCACCGAGGGGCGAUACCAUGAUUCCAUAAUCGUAUUCUAUAGCAUCCCAAUAUGAUUUAUCUUACAUGAGUAUUUUAAUCCCAUAACAUUCAUGAAAUCCUCUUCGAUUCAGUACUCAAUCUAAGGCCAAACAUCAUCCUUUAUCUAUCGCAAUCACACCUUUAUUUCAUUACCAGGGCAACAUUCAUUUUUUGCUAAAUGCUACUAGUCUUAGACUCCUUUGAGUUUAUUUAGGCUAUACUGAGCUUUGUAUAACUUAGAGAAACCCUCAGCUCUUCUUGUUUUUAUGGGCUUAAUCCUGAGGACUUAUCCAUGAUAUAAUCCUUUAACAAUUCGAUCUAUGACAUGGGCUCAAUUAUUUCUUUAACUUAUACCAGAGUCUUCUAUGAAUGUAUGAUUGUCAACAUAUAUGCUGCAUGGAUAAUACUCCGAAAUCUUAAGUGCGCUCAUAACGUAGCUAACUCUGGAUCAUUGAUCGAAUGAUUCUUUUUGUUCCAUCUCAGCUUUCUUCAAACGUAAGCAAUUACUUUUUCUGGUCUUUCUGCCCCCUUUUUACGUGCAUACUUAGCUUAUCUUGGUGCCCAUGCAUAUUGGAAUUCCAUACAACUCAUAUGAUCUUGAAUAUCACUUCUGAUUUUACUCCCCGCUCAUUAGCCACAGUAGGUGCCAUUUUCUUAUGGAGUGCAUACAAUGUUGUUGUAAGACUGUUGUUAUAAGACCAAUUCCUCCUUAGGUCACCCAGCUUAGGUUGAAGCCUUCUUCCUUAUUUCCUCAGCUAGUCUUUCAUUGUACUACUUAGGGAGAACCCUUGACUCUUGUAAAGCUGUGAGCUUAUUACGGACCUUUUGAUGUCCUUCCUUGCCUAUAAUUAUCCGUAGUUGCUUACCUCCAUGUCCUUGUGCUUGUAGGGUUGCUUCUGAACUGAUAUUUUGACUGUCUUCCCAGUGGCUUCUCUUUUAUUUCAGUAACACUCAUAUGGUACCUUUAACUACCCCAACUCCUAUCUGAAUAUUUCUCAAGGAUCACGAUGUCAUAUCUGCGAGACUGAAUUCACCAUAUUGGGUUUUACUAUGUUUAUCUUGCACGAUCUAUUAAUUUGUCUGUAUCCUCUUGUCUAGCCAUAACUAGGCUCUUUCUGAAUCAACUGCUAACUAUUCAUUAGCCCAUUCUCAUAUCAAUAUUCUGCGUAAUCUUUUUUGGGUUAUUUCUUUUGUCUUAACUUACGUCUCGCACUGGCUCCUUAUAUAUUAAUAACAUCUCAGACAGGAAUCCUUACUUCCUCUCCUUGACGUCGUGUUUGCAUAAUGUCUUGUAAUCGUUGCAUGUCUGUAGGAUUUGAAUGAGUGCAAUCUCAUCCCUUUCUCAUUUUUAUCGCAUUCUCCCUUUACCAUUCCGUAGUUACUAAAACCACUUAAUUUUGACUUUAUGCCACAUCACUCCAUAUUCUCCCCUUUAUGGGAGUACUAAUAUUUAGCACUACAACGAUCUACCUAUAGAUAUUUUACCUCUUCAUCAUUGGCGUCUUUUCGUAUUAUUGAUGACCCUUACUCGCCUUGCGGUAAUCCUUCUGUACCAAGGAUAACGAAAUUCCUUACUCGCGAGAGUGAAACUUAGUGUAACUGGCGCACAUAGUCCCUUAAGCUUAACUUUGCUCACAUUGCUUGUGUUAGGGAAGCGUCUUCCUGAAUGACCAUUCUCUGAAUUUCUUAUGAAUCUUCUUCUGUUGUCCAUUCUAUUAUCGCCGGAACAAAAUCUGAAACUCUCAUGAUGCCGAGUAUUAUCCAAUCACUCAGUCCUUAAUUCACGUUUAGUUUAUCUUGUUCACCAGCCCAUAUUUAUUUCUAUUACUCUGGGGUCUAACUUUUCCUUCCGGUAGUUGCGUUGGAGUCACGAACUUAUUUCUCGAAGUAAGGAUAUUACUUUAUGGCCUAUACUCUUUUGUUGUCUCAAAGCCUGUCACCUCUCGUCUUUUCCUUCCCUUGACUAUAGACUCUGUAAUACUGUCAUCUUUUUGACCUACCGUUGUCAUCCAUGUAUCACAUCUUACUCUUAAUGCUUCAUUAGCUCUCUUCUUAUUUCCUGCUAAUAUUUUUGUCUAUCACUUUAUUCUGAAAACUUCAACAAGAUAUUCUUUUGCUUUUAGCUCCCCUUUGCUCCAUCCACUGGCUCUUCGGGUUGCCUAGCAUUAUCUCUCUACUAGGGACGGGAGUCAUACUAAGAUAAUAUUUAUCCUUUUCAGGCUUCUAGUGCCUAUCUUUGUAGCACUCAUAUCUAGCUGUACUAUUUUAGAGUGCACCAUCUAGGUGUCUCAUAAGGAGAUCCAUUACCACGUUUGCACUAUCCUUCGAAAAUAUCAACUAAUUCUACCAAUCCAUCCCCUAUUUUGGGUUACUCUAACCCUAGCCGGAUCCUGAUAACCCGUCCUUCUCUUAAACUAUGUCUGUUAGCUCCCGUAGGGCAUAACUGAGAUCGGUGUGGCCGAUUGUGCGUAUAUCUGUCACUGUUGAAGGUAACUCAAAAUGCUUAUGUCUCCCUUCCUGAAUGGUAAAUAAUGAUAAUCUUUAUUAACUGGGUACCUCGCACCCUUCUUCACCUUGCUUCUUUUACUUGCUGAAACUUGUGUCUACCUUCCGAUUUAGUUAUUCCUUUUUACCGUAAGAGUGGAUAAGUAUUCUUGCCUUAAAACUCCUUGUCAAGAACCUUACACCUUUUAGUACACGUAUGGUCUGCUGAAGAUCUCACAUUUACUCAUCAUAAGCAUAAUACAAAAUCGAGUUCCUCUGACUCAAUACUUCCACAGCUAUAUCUCCUACCGACCAUCUUUCUGAAUGUAGGCAUCGUAGUAUUACGAAUAAGAUAGAGUUUAGAAAAUUGAGUCCUUACAACUGAGCUCUACCACACGAUCUAGAGUAAGAAGUAAGAGUGACAGUCUUAAAUACCCUGUAGCCUCCUACUUAUAAGUGUGGUGCAUGACACACCCAUAAACAAGACUCUACUAGACACGACUUGUAGACUCCCUAGGACAGAACUGCUCUGAUACCACCUUUUGUUACGACCCAAACCGAUGGGCUGCGACGGGCAACCGGUACCUUACUUUACCGAAUACCAACGUAACGUAUCUUUCUUAUUACAUCAUCAUAUACACGUGACAUACGGGCCUAAUAGGCCAACAUGAUUAUUCAUAAACUCAAAACAUAGGCCGACAAAGCCGUACAAUAUUUCACGUACACGAUAUUUAUCUACAAGCCUCUAAGAGUACAUAAAUGUCAUAAAGAUCGGGACAGGGCCCCACCAUAUUAAUCAGUACAUGUCCUACUCAUACUGACCACAUAAGAAACUACGGAUCAAAUGGAGCAAACCAACACCUUCCCUGAGCUGAUAGCCUACUUGGAGGACUCUCGACCUGUCUAUCAGGACCUGCGGGCAUGAAACGCAGCAUCCCUAGGCAAAAGGGACGUCAGUACGAAUAAUGUACCAAGUAUGUAAGGCACAUAAAUAAGUACAUAACAGACAUGGAAGAAAUAAAGAGUAAAUGACUCAACCUGUAAGUCUGGAUAAAUCUGUAAAUCAUGAAAUAAUUAUAGUGUCAUGCAUAUUUGUAUGAAUGUCAUGUCGUGCAUAGGUACAUGUUUCAUAACAUCAUCAGGCCUCUGAGGGAAUCCCAUCAUAUCAUCUCGGCCACCGUGGGCAAAAUUAUCAACGUAUACCAGCUGAUCAGGUGGUGGUGCGUAUAUAACGCCGUAACCUUUUUUUCAUAUCCCACAUACAUAUAAUAUACAUAUAUACGCGUAUAUAACGCCAUCUGGUCAUGGGUCAAUGUACAUGUAUAAAUGAAUGUAAUGCAUGAGAAAGUACGUCAAUAAAAUCUUUCGGAGUGUCAUAAGACCAUUAUGCCUUUGAUUAAUAUCAUGAAAGAAACUUUACUAACUUACAUAUUUUUGAGACCCAUGAACAGACAAUAAAAUAAUAAGAUAUAUGGGAAUUCAACAACAUAGUCAUCUCUAAUACUUCUAUGAAUAGAUUCAUGUAUGAAAAUUUUGUAUUUUCUCAUUUCGUUUGUGUUAUAUGGAUCAUGCCAAAAGAAAUAAUGGAUAGCCCUAACAUAUCUUUAACGUUAACUUUUUACUUGUAUCCAUGAACAAUCCCCUCCAUCUUGUAUGCCAAAACUAGUCUUCUUUCACCUUACUUUAUUACGAUGAAAUCUCCAAAUUUCUAUCAUCCAGAGGAAACCGUUGUGGGUAUAACAUCUAUGGUCAUUUGCGUGAUCUAACUGCAUGGCGGCUUUAACAUAAUAACAUCCCAUAAUCUCUAGAAGUUGAUAAUCAUUACAGGCUUAACAAAUAUUAGGCUUCAAGUGCCAUAGGAUUCCAGCACUGAUACAGAUCAGACACCACUCAAGAGGCACGCAUAUAGAGCUCUUAUACUCUUAAUUAGACCACACCUACCAUUUUCAAAUAAGAACAAGUAGUGCUGUAUUUUAUCAAAAGAAGAAGUAG